AAUGUGUGUACAUAUGAUGGUUCUUGAAUUAGUUGGUUUUUAUCAACAUGAAUUGCUAUUAUAAUGUUUAAUAAACUGAUCUUUGUAGCUAACGAGGCCAUUUUACAAUUUAUUGCUAUUUUUAACCAAUGAUUUUAAUGUGGAUUAACCAACGGUUAUAAAAGCCACAUUGCAGAAAAAGAAUUAACCGAUGAGACUUACAGUCCGGAUGAUGCUCUAAUUAUCAUGAUAUUCGGAAUUGCAAUGCAUAAUAAUAAAGUUGUUCAUCUACAUCCACUAGAGUCUCUCUUCUAUGAUUGCUGGAGUUUAUUCCAAUGAUAUUAAGUUGCAGCCAGAAACAUGGUAGCUGGGUGGGAAUAAAAUCGCUCCGACGUUUGUUCACCUUUAAUAACUUGAUAUUUCUCUAGGUCUUGCUGGUAUUCCAGUUGUGGUUGACCUUGCCAGUAUGGAAAAUGCCAUGAGCAAGCUUGGUGGAGACUCUAAGAAGACCAACCCAUUGGUCAAACCUUCAUGCUUUCAUUAAAGUAGGAACCGAAUACUUAUCAAAGCGCAUUCAAGAUGGUGGAACCGAAUAUGUAAAACAUUAUUUGUGGACACACAAUAGUGUAGUAUUUAGCGACAUUUAAGUUCAUGUUUGUUUUUUCUUUGCUAAUA